UGGGUUGUGGCUCAGUGGUAGAGCACUCACCUAGCACAUGCGAGGCCCUGGGUUCAAUACUCAGCACCACAU
rnacentral:tRNA from 1 species